GAGUCUAGGGCGUAAGAGUUUUGGGGGUUCCCAAAGCAGGCUGCGGACCCCCUGCCUGAGGCUUUGGUUUGAGCCCUGGAUCCGGCCUUGUGUUUCCCCGGAAGGAUGGCGUCUCAGUCUUUCCUGAAGUUGGGUGCCAUGCAGAAUGCCAUGAGUUAGAAGUUGGAGGACGGAGGGCUUAGAGAUGCUUGAGGGACGUCCUUAACCUAUGUGAAAUGUUGGAGGUUGAGGUGAAAAAUAUGGCUUUGAUAUCUUCAUGGAAAACUGCAUUAUUUCAGUCCUGAAUCUGGUUCGGUUCCCUUAUUGACUCAUUACUAUAUUAAAAAUGUUUAUUUAGCAGUGAUUGUAAAAUGAAAGUAAUUAACAUGUACAUGUUUUUUGUGGGGAGACUAAGGGGAAACACGUGUUCAGCCUAGAAAAACAUUUCUCAUUGGAUUUCCUGUGAAGUCAGUGUGUCUUGGGUUUAACUUUGAAACAAAUUAAAAAAUUUUUAAAUUAAAAAAAAAGUUUACUUAACUAUGGUAUUUGUUCUGGUAAAACCUUGUGGUUUAAUAAGAAUUUUUGCAAAUAUCCAUUAUA